rnacentral:rRNA from 1 species
CAAUAGCGUAUAUUAAAGUUGUUGCAGUUAAAAAGCUCGUAGUUGAACUUGUGCGUGUCCCUGAUGUCCUUUUUGGUACGUUUGGGGGCGUGCAUCCUUGGGUGGAACCUGUGUGGCAUUAGGUUGUCGUGCAGGGGAUGCUCAUCGUUUACUGUGAAAAAAUUAGAGUGUUCAAAGCAGGCUUAUGCCGUUGAAUAUAUUAGCAUGGAAUAAUAAGAUAGGACCUUGGUACUAUUUUGUUGGUUUGCGCACCGAGGUAAUGAUUAACAGGGACAGUUGGGGGUAUUCGUAUUCCAUUGUCAGAGGUGAAAUUCUUGGAUUUCUGGAAGACGAACUACUGCGAAANCANNNACCAAGGAUGUUUUCAUNAA